GACGAACGCUGGCGGCGUGCUUAACACAUGCAAGUCGAACGGAAAGGCCCUGCUUUUGUGGGGUGCUCGAGUGGCGAACGGGUGAGUAACACGUGAGUAACCUGCCCUUGACUUUGGGAUAACUUCUGGAAACUGGGGCUAUUACCGGAUAGGAGCUCCUGCUGCAUGGUGGGGGUUGGAAAGUUUCGGCGGUUGGGGAUAGACUCGCGGCUUAUGAGCUUGUUGGUGGGGUAGUGGCUUACAAGGGGUUUGACGGGUAGCCGGCCUGAGAGGGUUACCGGCCACAUUGGGACUGAGAUACGGCCCAGACGCCUACGGGAGGCAGCAGUGGAGAAUAUUGCACAAUGGGCGGAAGCCUGAUGCAGCAGCGCCGCGUGCGGGAUGACGGCCUUCGGGUUGUAAACCGCCUUCGCAUGUGACGAGGCGUGAGUGACGGUAAUGGGUAAAGAAGCACCGGCUAACUACGUG
rnacentral:rRNA from 1 species